rnacentral:rRNA from 1 species
AGCAGCCGCGGUAAUUCCAGCUCCAAUAGCGUAUAUUAAAGUUGUUGCAGUUAAAAAGCUCGUAGUUGAAUUUCGGGAUUAAUUUAUUGGUCGUGCUAUUGUACGUACUGGUAUUAUUGAUUCCUACCUUCUGACGAACCAUGAUGUCAUUAAUUUGGUGUCAUGGGGAAUCAGGACUGUUACUUUGAAAAAUUAGAGUGUUUAAAGCAGGCUCACGCUUGAAUACAUUAGCAUGGAAUAACGAAAUAGGACGUUUGAUUCUAUUUUGUUGGUUUCUAGGAUCGACGUAAUGAUUAAUAGGGAUAGUUGGGGGCAUUAGUAUUCAAUUGUCAGAGGUGAAAUUCUUGGAUUUAUUUGAAGACUAACUACUGCGAAAGCAUUUGCCAAGGAUGUUUUCAUUAAUACAAGACGAAAGUUAGGGGAUCGAGACGAUCAGAUACCGUCGUAGUCUUAACCAUAAACUAUAGCCGACUAGGG